rnacentral:rRNA from 1 species
AGAGUUUGAUCAUGGCUCAGAAUGAACGCUGGCGGCAUGCCUAACACAUGCAAGUCGAACGAAGCCUUCGGGUUUAGUGGCGCACGGGUGCGUAACGCGUGGGAAUCUGCCCCUUGGUUCGGAAUAACAGUUGGAAACGACUGCUAAUACCGGAUGAUGACGUAAGUCCAAAGAUUUAUCGCCGAGGGAUGAGCCCGCGUAGGAUUAGGUAGUUGGUGUGGUAAAGGCGCACCAAGCCGACGAUCCUUAGCUGGUCUGAGAGGAUGAUCAGCCACACUGGGACUGAGACACGGCCCAGACUCCUACGGGAGGCAGCAGUGGGGAAUAUUGGACAAUGGGCGAAAGCCUGAUCCAGCAAUGCCGCGUGAGUGAUGAAGGCUUAGGGUUGUAAAGCUCUUUUACCCGGGAUGAUAAUGACAGUACCGGGAGAAUAAGCUCCGGCUAACUCCGUGCCAGCAGCCGCGGUAAUACGGAGGGAGCUAGCGUUAUUCGGAAUUACUGGGCGUAAAGCGCACGUAGGCGGCUUUGUAAGUAAGAGGUGAAAGCCCAGAGCUCAACUCUGGAAUUGCCUUUUAGACUGCAUCGCUUGAAUCAUGGAGAGGUCAGUGGAAUUCCGAGUGUAGAGGUGAAAUUCGUAGAUAUUCGGAAGAACACCAGUGGCGAAGGCGGCUGACUGGACAUGUAUUGACGCUGAGGUGCGAAAGCGUGGGAGCAAACAGGAUUAGAUACCCUGGUAGUCCACGCCU